CUGGGAGAUUGUGAAAAUGUAUGCACUUUUAUUUGGUGUGUAUGGCCCUUUAAGACUGUCGGUGGGCAUAUUGGGGCUUAUGGACUCUUUAUGUGACUGGUGCUGGCCCUUUAAACACCUUUUUUGGGACAUCAGGAAGAUUGGGACACUGCCCCUUUAAGGCGGUGUCCCCUGUGUCCCCAGACCUGGUGCAAACCCUUUGUGCCUGCCUUGCUAUUUCCCACUUGGUUCAGUAAAUGGGAAAUUAUUUCAGCUGCAGAGACUAAGUCCCAUUCG